rnacentral:rRNA from 1 species
AAGAGUUUGAUCCUAGCUCAGGAUGAACGCUGGCGGCGUGGAUAAGGCAUGCAAGUCGAACGGCCCGCAAGGGCAGUGGCGAACGAGGUAGUAACACGUAGGUACAAACCCCAAAGUCAGGAAUAACCCACCGAAAGGUGGGCUAAUACUUGAUAGUCUCUUCGGAGUAAAGAUUUAUCGCUUUGGGAUUGGCCUGCGCAGUAUCAGCUAGUUGGUAGGGUAAAAGCCUACCAAGGCAAUGACGCUUAGGGGAGGUGAGAGCCUGGCCCCCACCGAUGGUACUGAGACA